GUCAAGAAUAUUCCACAAUGGGCGAAAGCCUGAUGGAGCGACGCCGCAUGCGGGAUGAAGCCCUUCGGGGUGUAAACCGCUUUUAUAGGGGAAGAACAAAUGACGGUACCCUAAGAAUAAGAGGUUCCUAACUCUGUGCCAGCAGGAGCGGUGAUACAGAGACCUCAAGCGUUAUCCGGAUUUAUUGGGUGUAAAGGGUCCGCAGGUGGUUUGGCGCGUCUUUUGUUAAAUCUCCGAGCUUAACUCGGAAAUCGCAAAGGAUACGGCCCAACUAGAGGACGGGAGAGGCAAACGGAAUUGCCGGUGUAGCGGUAAAAUGCGUUGAUAUCGGCAAGAACACCAAAGGCGAAGGCAGUUUGCUAGAACGUUCCUGACACUCAUGGACGAAAGCGUGGGUAGCGAAAGGGAUUAGAUACCCGAGUAGUCC
rnacentral:rRNA from 1 species